ensembl:lncRNA
CUUAGUCUUUCAUGUCUGCCUGAUCCCAGAGCGUCACAGCUUUAGCCGUUUUGCUGUGUUUGCUCUUUAAACAGGGUUUUACUGUGUAGCCCAGGGUGGCCCCCAACAGGAGUGAUCCAAUUUCCGUUCCUAUGUAGGUUGGCAGUAUCUGUGGAAGGAACAAAGCCCAACUCAGUUGAUGCAGAAUUCUACUGCCAGGAUCGAGGUGGAGAGCCAGGAUUAGGGGAUGAAGGCGUUUAGAUGGAAACCCAAGAUUGAGUCAAUAUUACGGAGAAGAUCCACCUCUUAGCAGCAUCCCAGGACACUUGGAUAGCCUGUCCUUGGUUCUCAGCUUUUAUCACCAACUGCGACCUCUUCUGUGGACAGGACAUACCCUGCAGUCUUAUCACUUUCUGAAAGGCAUGGAUUGCGCCCUGUUCCUGAAGUUCUGAAGUUAUCGCUACAGCUAACCGGUUUGUCCUUCGCUUUCUGCUGAGAAAGCAUGCCCUGCGUGAAAUGAUGCAGUUUAAAUAAACUAAGUUUCCC